rnacentral:rRNA from 1 species
UACGUAGGGUGCGAGCGUUGUCCGGAAUUACUGGGCGUAAAGAGCUUGUAGGUGGUUUGUCGCGUUGUUCGUGAAAUCUCACGGCUUAACUGUGAGCGUGCGGGCGAUACGGGCAGACUAGAGUACUGCAGGGGAGACUGGAAUUCCUGGUGUAGCGGUGGAAUGCGCAGAUAUCAGGAGGAACACCGGUGGCGAAGGCGGGUCUCUGGGCCGAUACUGACGCUGAGGAGCGAAAGCGUGGGGAGCAAACAGG